GCAGGGGAGGGGCAGAGAGAGAGGGAGACACAGAAUCUGAAGCAGGCUCCAGGCUCUGUGCUGUCAGCACAGAGCCUGACAUGGGCCUCGACCUCACAAACUGUGAGAUCAUGACCUCAGCCAAAGUUGGACGCUCAACCAACUGAGCCACCCAGGCGCUCCUGUUCUGGGUUUUUUUUAAUGACAACUUAUUCCAUCUAGACUUGAUGCAAAAAUUACAGAGGGGGAGACUAAAUACUUCCCAUUCCAUGAAGCUUUAUCAAUAGAAGCAACAUUCUUGGUUGGUAACCCAGAAGGAGAAAGUCAUGCAAGAAAACCACCUUAAAAAGAACAGUGACCUCUGAUAGAAGGACACACAACCACACAGCUAGCCUGGGGAACACCACAGGCAGGGAACUGGGAAAUAAAUACCCUGAUUUCCUU